CACCCAGACUCCUACGGGAGGCAGCAGUAGGGAAUAUUGCACAAUGGGCGAAAGCCUGAUGCAGCAACGCCGCGUGAAGGAAGAAGGGCUUCGGCUCGUAAACUUCUAUCAACAGGGACGAAAGAAAUGACGGUACCUGAAUAAGAAGCCCCGGCUAACUACGUGCCAGCAGCCGCGGUAAUACGUAGGGGGCAAGCGUUAUCUGGAUUUACUGGGUGUAAAGGGGGCGCCGGCGGCAGCGCAAGCCAGGAGUGAAAGCCCGGGGCCCAACCCCGGGACUGCUCUUGGAACUGCGCGGCUGGAGUGCAGGAGGGGCAGGCGGAAUUCCUGGUGUAGCGGUGAAAUGCGUAGAUAUCAGGAGGAACACCAGUGGCGAAGGCGGCUUACUGGACGGCAACUGACGCUGAGGCUCGAAAGCGUGGGGAGCAAACAGGAUUAGAUACCCGUGUAC
rnacentral:rRNA from 1 species